UAAUAUUCUCCUGCUAGUAUAUAAGUUCCAGAACAGAAAAGUGGAAAACAACUAUCCCAACUACAAAUUAAGAGGAUCAAAUAAAAUCAGAAGUUCACUAUUUCAGAUCUUAUUCUAUGUUCAGAUUAAUUUAUAUAUAGAAUCAUAUUUUUGAACACUUAUAUAUAUAAACAUUGAUCAUGUGUCUAAUGCCUAUCCUCACUGCCUGCUACCAUUGCUGAUGUGAGCCCCAUAUAUUCCCCCAUCCUUAGCGAUGAAUGUUGUGUUUCCUAGCCACCUCGAACACUUGCACCACCAAAUCGUUGUCCUCCCCACUUCUCACACGCUUUUUUUAAAAUAUGUACCCAUUUGUUUUUCAAAUCUUGAGAUUUGUACCUGUAGGCAAUGAUGUAAAGCAAUAAUGUUCAUUUAAAGCAUACAAUUUUAGCAAAUUGUAAGCAUAUCAAUGUGAUGUACAAUAGGAAGUCGGUGCUACAAAAUGGAAGGAACUAUAUAGGAAUAAGUAAUCGUAAUUCAUAAGAUCUAUUUCAUCCUCACAUCUCUUCUUAUGGCAUGAUAAACAGCCUGGACCUGAACAACAACCAAAGUAACCUUGUACACAUGGAAGUAAAAUUUCUACAAAUGGGAAUCUAGGUGGUUAAGUAGAAUAUAUUUGAGCAUUACAAAACAGGGUGCUACCUCCUCAUUCGAAACCACAAGAAUCCUCCCCAAAAACAUUCCCCCUAGUAGAUAUUUUCCGACUUGCUUCGCGAUGUACAAACCAAAUUGAGAUGUUAUCUUAAUUAAAACUAACGUUCAUUUAUUUGUAUGGCAAACGAAACAUAUACACAGAACCAAAUACUACAAUAAACAGCUAGCUAUGCUCACAAGCUUGUGACCAUAAAUAUAUAUGGAUUAUUUAUCCAAAAGUCCGUGGUGUUAAGAAAGAUGUUAUAUUGCGCAAAGACAGUUCCCACAUCAAAUCUAUGGCGCAUAUGUUACCACAUAUUGUUGGGGUACACAUUUUAUAUACUGGAAACAAGCCGUAGACAAAAGAAACUCCUUUAUCAUCACUCCAUGAAAUAAAAAAACACAUGACGAGGAGAAUUACCAUCGUAAUAUUAAACCUGAAAACAAACGGUCUUAGUUACAUAGAAGUCAGCAAGAAUUAGAAACAUUGGAGCUAAUUAGUUAACCAAUUAAAUUUUCCCUGAGACACUAAUCAAACCAUAAAACUCUCAAUACAAGUCCACUAAUUACUUAAAUUAGCAUAAGGGUUUUAAAAAAAAAUCUCACCUAUUGACUCCGGCACACGUUCGAAACGUGGAAAGAUCAACAGACUUGUUGGGCAGAUCGAUCUUGCCGCAGUUGGUCCACUAAGAAAAUCAUAAUGCCACACUUGGUGUAAACUGCAGGGGGGAAAGAUAUUUCAGCUAGAACCAAUAUUUUUAACCUGAUGCACUGAUAAGAGAACACGCAGGAAGCCGGUUAAGAAAAACUAAACCACAUGCGUUUUAUACAGACCGUGCACACACUAUUGAUACAGAGCCGACCCAUCCGUCUUGAAUCUUUCUGAAAUUACAAUCCAAUUAAAUAUAUAAAACCCAGUAUGGUACUAAAUAUCCAACUAUCUGGAUUUCUCUACAAACAAUCUCAACUUGGAACCAGUAUAGUCUGAAAACUUUACUGGUAGGAUUGAGAAAACAUAGGUACCUUGAUCACAUGGAUUUUGCUCUGCGGCGUUUGCUGGAAAUCCCUAAUUACCGGCUAGAAAAUUCUCACCCACUCCAAGCCACACAAACUGUUCUUCUCACCCUCAGUCCUUCUUCAGAUGCACACAUUCGUCAUUUGGUUAAAUGAUAGAAAAAAAUUGCAUGAACAAUCAAUGUAUAUACCUGAAUUAAACAGUAGCUACAAUGGUCACGCACUUCAUCUUCUUUUCUAUUCGAGUGGACACCAGAUCAAGCUAGUUGAUGGUGCUCUGAAAGUCAAUGUACAUCUGAUACACCACGUUGAUGAUUUUUUGCUGUUUCAUGGGCCACACUAUUGCUAUCUCAUGCAAAUCUCCCGUAGAUUUCCUCUGAUCCGACCCAAAUCUGAUACACCAUGCAGCCUAACAAAGCAAGAAAAUGCACCAAACUGAAAUCAUGUUUUGCAUAAGCAGAUUAUAAGAUAAUUUUGAAGGGUUCUGUGUAAUAAACAAUUUAAAGCAGCACAUGCAUGUCGGAGGACCAUAUAUUGACGAAUACAAUACAUAACACUGUACUCUGAAAGUCAAUGUCGUUGUACUCACUUAUUUCCUCUUACAGCAAAUACAUAGUGAUGAAUUAAUGUAGGCGAUCUUUACUUUAAUCCAUAUGCUGUGUUAUUAACUACAUGAACAUGAGAAACUGAGACUCAAAUAUUUCUUUUGUGCCAUUGCAAACCUAGUUAGGUCUCUUCUCUCCAAUAAUCAAAAGAGAAUACAUGCAUCUAAAGAAAGCACAUACAUACCUCCAGUUAAGACCAUCUAAACCAUUCGGGCAAAAAUAUGUAUAGUCAUUGAUCAGCUAUACAUGCCUGAUGCAGCCGCAUGGCUUCGUUUCUCGUGUUCUCCUCCACCUGACCAUCGUCGCCACUCCCCACCAUUGCAUGUGCCAAGUUCGUCCUCGUCACACAUGCUUGUAUUAUGUUCGCUGACACAGGAAUAGUGAUCUCCACGCCCGCCCUUACCCACUCGUCGGGCCCCUACUAAACGCAUCUCCGCGUGCGCCCUCGCCACCAAGUGCCUUUCAGCGACACAGAGAGAGACUACGCCAUCGCACGUGCUUAAUCAAGAUCAAAUUGUAAAUUAUGUCGAUGUUCAUUGAUCAAGCCUUACCAUCAGUCCUACAAUUGCAAUCCACGUACAGUGCAGAUCCUACACCGCACACAAUUUCACACACAACCACAAAAUGCAGUCCAAAAAAUAUGGUCAAACCAGACCAAUGAUUCUCACCAAGAUGCGCACAGGCUUGAUUCAGACCGCAUCGGCUCAUGCAUCAACAAGGCGCUGCUCCAUCUCCUAUAGACAUCACAUUAUGAGAUGCUAAGAGUUAGUGAGAGUUUGGGGUAUCAUCGUCACUCAUGUGCUCCACCUACUUGCUCCUCAGAAAAAACAUUGCACACACAGAUUGGAAGAACCAAAUCAAUUUUGGUACUGAUUUGUCCACGUUCGAAGGACUUCUGUCACCAGAUCAUAAUUUUCUUGCUUCACACAUGAGGCUGCACUACAGAAUCUGCAAAGCAACGGAAUCAGUUGGGCAUUUAUUUAUGAUAAUUAACUCGCAAGAUGGAUGGAUGCAGCUGCUCACGUACCUGAUCCUGGUGGCCGGCGGCUUCCGCAGAGCUGCUUUACCUGCGUACAACGGCGACAAAUAGAUGACAUGAAUUUAAUUUACGUUUUGAGGUGCCAUGUGACGUCAACAACGGAGGGGUCAUGGCCGUACCUGUCGUCGAUGACGAAGCGGGGGUCAGGGCCAACGGAGCCCAAGAAGUCGCUGAAGAAGGCCACCGCCAGGUCUUGCCCUAUCAUGGACUGCGUCGCCUCGGAAGCCGGGGACACCAGGUCUUCUUACACGCACACCUCGCUAGGUCCCCUUCGCCACGUUCGGACUCCACAGGUGUCGUUCCAAAUCGAGUACCGAGGAAGAUGGGGAUGGGAGUGGAAGAAGGCCGGCGUGCAGAUUCAUCACCUCCUUGUCG
rnacentral:lncRNA from 1 species